CCUAGGGUGGCUGCAGUGGGGAAUAUUGGACAAUGGGGGGAACCCUGAUCCAGCCAUGCCGCGUGUGUGAAGAAGGCCCUCGGGUUGUAAAGCACUUUCAGUGAGGAAGAACGCCUGGUGGUUAAUACCCAUCAGGAAAGACAUCACUCACAGAAGAAGCACCGGCUAACUCCGUGCCAGCAGCCGCGGUAAUACGGAGGGUGCGAGCGUUAAUCGGAAUUACUGGGCGUAAAGCGCGCGUAGGUGGCUUGAUAAGCCGGUUGUGAAAGCCCCGGGCUCAACCUGGGAACGGCAUCCGGAACUGUCAAGCUAGAGUGCAGGAGAGGAAGGUAGAAUUCCCGGUGUAGCGGUGAAAUGCGUAGAGAUCGGGAGGAAUACCAGUGGCGAAGGCGGCCUUCUGGACUGACACUGACACUGAGGUGCGAAAGCGUGGGUAGCAAACAGGAUUAGAUACCCCUGUAGUC
rnacentral:rRNA from 1 species